AGAGUUUGAUCAUGGCUCAGGAUGAACGCUGGCGGCGUGCCUAAUACAUGCAAGUCGAACGAUCCGCAAGGAUAGUGGCGAACGGGUGAGUAACGCGUUGGUGACCUGCCCUGAAGUGGGGGAUAACGGAUCGAAAGGUCCGCUAAUACCGCAUAAGUUCUCGCUAGUUAGAGAGGCGAGAGGAAAGCCGAAAGGCGCUUUAGGAGGGGCCUGCGUCCCAUCAGCUAGUUGGUAAGGUAGUGGCUUACCAAGGCGAUGACGGGUAGGGGACCUGAGAGGGUGACCCCCCACAAUGGAACUGAAACACGGUCCAUACACCUACGGGUGGCAGCAGUAGGGAAUAUUGGUUAAUGGGCGAAAGCCUGACCCAGCAACGCCGCGUGAACGAUGAAGGCCUUCGGGUUGUAAAGUUCUUUUGACAGGGAUGAGGAAGGACAGUACCUGUCGAAUAAGUCUCGGCUAACUACGUGCCAGCCGCCGCGGUAA
rnacentral:rRNA from 1 species